rnacentral:rRNA from 1 species
AGCAGCCGCGGUAAUUCCAGCUCCAAUAGCGUAUAUUAAAGUUGUUGCAGUUAAAAAGCUCGUAGUUGAACUUCGGGAUCAAUGGAUCGGUCAUGCCAUCGGUAUGUACUGGUCUCAUUGGUUCUCACCUUCUAAGGAACCAUAAUGUCAUUCAUUUGAUGUUGUGGGGAAUUAGGACUGUUACCUUGAAAAAAUUAGAGUGUUUAAAGCAGGCUAACGCUUGAAUACAUUAGCAUGGAAUAAUGAAAUAGGACAUCGCAUUCUAUUUUGUUGGUUUCUAGGAUCGAUGUAAUGAUUAAUAGGGAUAGUUGGGGGCAUUAGUAUUCAAUUGUCAGAGGUGAAAUUCUUGGAUUUAUUGAAGACUAACUACUGCGAAAGCAUUUGCCAAGGAUGUUUUCAUUAAUCAAGAACGAAAGUUAGGGGAUCGAAGACGAUCAGAUACCGUCGUAGUCUUAACCAUAAACUAUGCCGACUAGGGAUCGGAUGAUGUUAAAAAAAUGACGCGCUCGGCACCUCAUG